ACAGAAACUUAGGGGGAGGGUAUAGCUCAGCGGUAUGGUGGAUGUUUAGCACGCAUGAGCUCCCGGGUUCAGUCCCCAGUACCUCCAUUAAAAAUGAAUAAAUAAACAAACC